rnacentral:rRNA from 1 species
GAUGAACGCUGGCGGCGUGCCUAAUACAUGCAAGUAGAACGCUGAAGGAGGAGCUUGCUCUUCUGGAUGAGUUGCGAACGGGUGAGUAACGCGUAGGUAACCUGCCUGUUAGCGGGGGAUAACUAUUGGAAACGAUAGCUAAUACCGCAUGACAACAGUUAUUGCAUGAUAACUGUUUAAAAGGGGCAACUGCUCCACUACCAGAUGCACCUGCGUUGUAUUAGCUAGUUGGUGAGGUAACGGCUCACCAAGGCGACGAUACAUAGCCGACCUGAGAGGGUGAUCGGCCACACUGGGACGGAGACAAGGCCCAGACUCCUACGGGAGGCAGCAGUAGGGAAUCUUCGGCAAUGGACGGAAGUCUGACCGAGCAACGCCGCGUGAGUGAAGAAGGUUUUCGGAUCGUAAAGCUCUGUUGUAAGAGAAGAACGAGUGUGAGAGUGGAAAGUUCACACUGUGACGGUAUCUUACCAGAAAGGGACGGCUAACUACGU